UACGUAGGGUCCGAGCGUUGUCCGGAAUUAUUGGGCGUAAAGGGCUCGUAGGCGGUUCGUCACGUCGGGAGUGAAAACUCGGAGCUUAACUCCGAGCCUGCUUCCGAUACGGGCAGACUAGAGGUAGGCAGGGGAGAGCGGAACUCCUGGUGUAGCGGUGGAAUGCGCAGAUAUCAGGAAGAACACCCGUGGCGAAGGCGGUUCUCUGGGACGGUACUGACGCUGAGACGCGAAAGCGUGGGGAGCGAACAGG
rnacentral:rRNA from 1 species